UACGGAGGGUGCAAGCGUUGUCCGGAAUCACUGGGCGUAAAGGGCGCGUAGGCGGCUCGGUAAGUAGGAGGUGAAAUCCUGCGGCUUAACCGCAGGGCUGCCUUCUAAACUGUCGAGCUCGAGCACGGUAGAGGCAGAUGGAAUUCCCGGUGUAGCGGUGGAAUGCGUAGAGAUCGGGAAGAACAUCAGUGGCGAAGGCGGUCUGCUGGGCCGUAGCUGACGCUGAGGCGCGACAGCGUGGGGAGCAAACAGG
rnacentral:rRNA from 1 species